rnacentral:rRNA from 1 species
UCCGUAGGGUGCAAGCGUUGUCCGGAAUUAUUGGGCGUAAAGAGCUCGUAGGCGGUCUGUCGCGUCGGCUGUGAAAACCCGAGGCUCAACCUCGGGCCUGCAGUCGAUACGGGCAAACUAGAGUACUGCAGGGGAGACUGGAAUUCCUGGUGUAGCGGUGAAAUGCGCAGAUAUCAGGAGGAACACCGGUGGCGAAGGCGGGUCUCUGGGCCGAAACUGACGCUGAGGAGCGAAAGCGUGGGGAGCAAACAGG